rnacentral:rRNA from 1 species
CGCUGGCGGCGUGCUUAACACAUGCAAGUCGAACGAUGAAGCCCAGCUUGCUGGGUGGAUUAGUGGCGAACGGGUGAGUAACACGUGAGUAACCUGCCCUUGACUCUGGGAUAAGCGUUGGAAACGACGUCUAAUACCGGAUACGAGCUUCCACCGCAUGGUGAGUUGCUGGAAAGAAUUUUGGUCAAGGAUGGACUCGCGGCCUAUCAGCUUGUUGGUGAGGUAAUGGCUCACCAAGGCGACGACGGGUAGCCGGCCUGAGAGGGUGACCGGCCACACUGGGACUGAGACACGGCCCAGACUCCUACGGGAGGCAGCAGUGGGGAAUAUUGCACAAUGGGCGAAAGCCUGAUGCAGCAACGCCGCGUGAGGGACGACGGCCUUCGGGUUGUAAACCUCUUUUAGCAGGGAAGAAGCGAAAGUGACGGUACCUGCAGAAAAAGCACCGGCUAACUACGUGCCAGCAGCCGCGGUAAUACGUAGGGUGCAAGCGUUGUCCGGAAUUAUUGGGCGUAAAGAGCUCGUAGGCGGUUUGUCGCGUCUGCUGUGAAAUCCCGAGGCUCAACCUCGGGUCUGCAGUGGGUACGGGCAGACUAGAGUGCGGUAGGGGAGAUUGGAAUUCCUGGUGUAGCGGUGGAAUGCGCAGAUAUCAGGAGGAACACCGAUGGCGAAGGCAGAUCUCUGGGCCGUUACUGACGCUGAGGAGCGAAAGGGUGGGGAGCAAACAGGCUUAGAUACCCUGGUAGUCCACCCCGUAAACGUUGGGCGCUAGAUGUGGGGACCAUUCCACGGUUUCCGUGUCGUAGCUAACGCAUUAAGCGCCCCGCCUGGGGAGUACGGCCGCAAGGCUAAAACUCAAAGGAAUUGACGGGGGCCCGCACAAGCGGCGGAGCAUGCGGAUUAAUUCGAUGCAACGCGAAGAACCUUACCAAGGCUUGACAUAUACGAGAACGGGCCAGAAAUGGUCAACUCUUUGGACACUCGUAAACAGGUGGUGCAUGGUUGUCGUCAGCUCGUGUCGUGAGAUGUUGGGUUAAGUCCCGCAACGAGCGCAACCCUCGUUCUAUGUUGCCAGCACGUAAUGGUGGGAACUCAUGGGAUACUGCCGGGGUCAACUCGGAGGAAGGUGGGGACGACGUCAAAUCAUCAUGCCCCUUAUGUCUUGGGCUUCACGCAUGCUACAAUGGCCAGUACAAAGGGCUGCAAUACCGUAAGGUGGAGCGAAUCCCAAAAAGCUGGUCCCAGUUCGGAUUGAGGUCUGCAACUCGACCUCAUGAAGUCGGAGUCGCUAGUAAUCGCAGAUCAGCAACGCUGCGGUGAAUACGUUCCCGGGCCUUGUACACACCGCCCGUCAAGUCAUGAAAGUCGGUAACACCCGAAGCCAGUGGCCUAACCGCAAGGAUGGAGCUGUCUAAGGUGGGAUUGUAAUAGGACUA